AUGGCGGACCUUGCGGUUGGUCUGGCCAAGACGGUGGUGGAGGCAGCACUGACCAAAGCCAAGGCGGCAAUCGAGGAGGCGGCGAAGCUCCGGGGGAGCGCGCGGCGGAACAUGGUGUUCAUCACACUGGAGUUCGAGAUGAUCCACUCUUUCCUUGACGAUGCCACUGAAGAGCGCGUUAAGAGCAAUUUGGUGAAGACCUGGGUGAGGCAGGUCCGCGAGCUGGCCUACGACCUGGAGGACUGCAUGGAGUUUGUGGUUCACCUCGACAACAAAUCCACCUGGUACAUCCGGUUGCUCCCAUCCUGGAUUGCGCCGCUUCCACCUCUUGAUGAGGCGGCUGCGGAGAUAGAGGAGCUGAGGACCAGGACCGAGGAGUUGAGCAAGUGUUACUUGCGCUACAGCCACAUCACGGACUCUGACCCCAAGCUGUUCAAGCUGCAACAACAUGCAACCUCCGGUGAUGCUGCCGGCACAGUAGCAGUCAUGUGGGAGACGGUGGACGGCGACCUUGGUACCACAUCCAUCAUCCGGAAGGUAUACAAUGACCCGUCGUUCGUCACAUACUUCGCCUGCCGCGCAUGGGUGAAGAUCGUUCAUCCUUUCAAUCCCCGCCACUUCAUCCGGAGCUUGAUGGCUCAGUUCUACGCAAACUCCUGCAAAGAAUCAACCAUUGUAGGGACGCAUGUCCUAACAAAGAUGGAGGUCAACCAUAAACACCUCGUCAAGGAGUUCGAACGCCUAAUCACGGAGAACAGGUACCUCAUCGUCUUAGAAGGCUUUUCAAACAUGCUAGAGUGGGACGAUAUCAGGACGUUUCUUCCUGACAUGAAGAAUGGAAGCUGGAUCGUCGUCUCCACGCAGCGCUUCGAGAUAGCAAGCCUGUGCGUCGGAAAUUCUUACCAGCUAACGGAACUGAAGAAGUUCACCGCUGAGCACUCUGUUUGUGCCCUCUUCAAGGAGAUGAAGUAUUUCGUGACGGGCAAAGAGUUUGUGUCCGUGUGGGGCAUUGUUGGUGUUGGAAAAUCGGCUCUAGUUCGAAACUUGUACGACGACUACAAGGCGUCAAAAACAUUUACCAAAUAUAGUUGGGUGGACGUAUCACAUCCCUUUGAUUUAAGUGACUUCUGUAGGAGCAUACUUUUGGAUUGUCACCCAGAGAUGGACCCCAUUGAAGAGUGCCGCAAGCUUCUUGACAAUAAUGAGUGCCUACUUGUCAUCGAUGAUAUCCAGUGUAUGCAAGAAUGGGACAUGAUAGAGACAACCUUGUUAUCCAUUGAUUCUCCGGUUCACAGUGUCAUCGUCGUUAUUACAACAGAAGCAAGCAUCGCAUAUCAUGCAUCUAGCAUGUUGUAUGAGUUUCAUGUGAGAGCUCUGGAAGCUGAUGCCGCCAUUGAUCUCUUCCAAACAGAGGUACACCAGAAGAAUCCGUCAUCAGCUGUAGCGAAUUACAUGGAUUCCCACCAUGUGCAGAUACAAGAGCUUGUUUUGAAGUGUGGAGGCCUUCCCAAAGUAAUUGUUGCUAUAGCAGACGUAUUGGCCAGACAACCGUUCGAACUGAUGCAGUAUAAUGUAUACUCGUUGUAUUGGACCUUUAUGAACAGCCUGGAGACAAAGCCAGAGUAUGAUAAUUUACAGGGACUAUUUGGUUGGCUACAUUCCUACUUCCGUACUUGUCCAGAUUCACUCAAGCCAUGUAUCUUCUACCUGGCAAUUUUUCCUCGGCGGAGGCGACUAGUAAGGCGGUGGAUUGCAGAGGGUUACACGAGGGACAGCAGUCAAGAGUCUGCAGAACAUAAUGGGGAGGUGCUCUUCUCCGAUCUUCAUGAAAGGAGCAUAAUCCAUCAGCCACCACAAAAAAUAGCCACUGCCACACUGGAUGGCCCAAGAAUGGCCAUCUGCCAAGUCAAUGGUUUCAUACAUGAGUACAUCGUCGCACGGCGAAUGGACGAGAACCUGUUUGAACUGGAAGGAAAUAGUGCCCUGACCACUCAGCGCACAGGGCGUCACCUUGUCAUAUUUGGAAAUUGGAACAGAGAUAGAAUUGUGUUCAAGAGCAUUGACUUCUCACGGCUACGGUCACUGACAGUAUUUGGGAAAUGGGAACCAUUCUUUAUCUCAAAAGGUAUGAAGAUUCUCCGCGUGCUUGAUCUAGAGGAUGCACGGGGUAUGAAGGAUGCUGAUCUCGAGAAGAUGGUGAACCUAUUGCCUCGCCUCAAAUUUCUCUCGCUACGAGGAUGCCGUGAGAUCUGCCAUCUACCCAGUUCAUUGGGUGAUCUGAGGCAGCUCCAGACUCUGGACGUCAGGGGCACCUCUAUAGUCACCCUUCCGGAAAACAUCACCUUGUUACAGAAGCUGCAGUAUAUUCGUGCUGGAAGUGGAAGUGGCACCAAGGAAAAAACAUCCAGUAUGUUGAACUUGACAGCAUCAGCUCCACCAAUUUCAUCCUGUUGGUUACCCGAGUUGUGCAAGCGUCGUCAAUUAGUUGGUGUUGUGGUACCUGGAGGGAUCGGGAAGCUGACCGCAUUGCAUACACUCGGUGUUGUCAAUGUCGCUGCUUCAGGGGGGAAAGCUAUACUCGAAGAGCUAAAGAAGCUGACCCAGUUGCGGAAGCUGGGUGUAUCUGGCAUCAACAAGAAGAACAGCAAUGAGUUCUUCUCUGCAAUCAAGGAGCAUGUCCAUCUGGAAUCAUUAUCAGUGCAGCUCAACAAGGACACCAGUCAAGUUUGCUUGGAUGGCACCCCCCUGCCGUUGGAGAACCUGCAAAGCCUUAAAUUGUAUGGACUUGUUAAUGUCCAGUUGCAAGGUAGGAGAGACGGGCUAAGAAAGCUGCAUUUAGAGAUGGCUACAAUAAUGGAAGAUGACAUAAAGUUCCUUGGCAAGCUACCACUGCUAUGUGUUCUUCGUGUGAAGCAGAUUCAAGAUGGCGAGCUCCAUUUUCACGUCGUUGUGGAUGGACAAGAGGAAGACUCAUUGGGGAGCGUCAAGGUCCUCCAGAUUGCUUGCGGUUGCAGCUCCAGCAGCUUACAUGUUACUUUUGGAUCUAAAUCAAUGAAGGAGCUUGAGCUGCUCAAGGUUGACUGCCACGGUGGGUCGCCACCAUAUCAGUUCUCUGGCCUGGAGAAUCUAGUACAACUAAAGCAAAUCUUGCUAGUUAAAUGUUCCAACGCUGAAGCACUGAAGGGGCAACUUGAGAGCCAGCUUGCCGAGCAUCCCAACAAGCCUGUUGUGAAGCUGGAGGAACCACCACAAUCGUCCUGA
rnacentral:rRNA from 1 species